CAAUACAAUACAUUAUCUCGCGAGAAAGCUUUAACACGUUUUUAUCUUUCCAUAACCAUGAGGAGAGCUCGUCUAUUUGUUGCAAAGCUUUACGAUUUACUACAAAAUCACUGGUGGUGGAUGCACAACAUGACACCAUCAACGUCAACAACACUCGUGGACCCAUGGACACAUGUUGAGGUGGUCACAUAACGAACAGCCAUCUGUCAGGCCAUGUGCCACAACCAAACAAGUAUUGUCUCCAGUCCCAGAUGCUUCAUUGCCAUCCCAGUCCCAGAGGACCCCCCCAGUGUAUGUGAGAACUUUGCUGUCGCAUCUUAUUUUAUACACAUUAUACCUUAAUACCAACACAGCCUAAUGUAUAAAUACAUACAUUUCUCUGAAUCAGAAUUCAUACAGUUAAAAAUAUAGAGGCUACAAUGUCUGUCAUUGCUCAACAAGUACAGCCAGCUAAUUUGACAGUAACUAAUGCAGUAAAAUUGCACAGCAGUCUUAUUACUUUACCUUCACUUAAAGCCAACCCUGGUCAUCGAGAGCCACUGCACUGCUUGUUUUCCAGCUGUCCCUGCCCUUCCAGCUUCUGACUGACAACACACCUGAUCCAUUACUAAUCAGCAGUGAGUAAGGCAUGGAUAGUUGGUAAACAAGCAGAUGCUCUGAAGAGGUGGAGUCCAACUGCCACAGACUCCGAAAUUGAUGCAUCAAUGGCGGAACACCUAAAACACGCUCCAGGAAGAGCUGGGGGCGGUGGUUAUAAGAAAUAAGCGGUUUUGAGCGACAUUUACAUGUGUGUUUACAUUAAUCCAGUAUUUUUGUUUUGUGCUUGUUUGAUUUAUAGCUGUUUAAAAUUAAUGCAAAACUAUUUCAAAACUGUUUCAAUUAAAAAAUUGAGUACUGCCACAAUAAUAAUGCUUCUGGAAGAGCAAGUGCUUGUGGAGCAACAAAAUGAUAGUAAACAUUUUGGAAUAAUAAAAAAUAAAUAAAAGAUUAUAAAUAUACAUAUGUGUUCACUUUUAUCCGUUACCUUGGUUAUGUUCUUGUUUGAAUAAUGGCUACUUAAAAUUAAUGUCAAGCUUUUGAGAAAAUUGGUGCAUGCUUAGAAUUAACUGCAUUGUACUAUUUCUAUUUUCAUGUUUAAAUAGCAGUUGUUUAACAAAUGAAAGAGCUUGGAAAAAAUGUAAUGCACAAAAUAUGUUGUAGUAAAUUAGAACGGUCUAAUUCUUGCUUAAGUCCACAAAAUAUUUUAUUGUUUGUAAUGUACACAUGAUUAAAACGUUUUGUAGACGUUCAGGUCUGACUGGACCG